rnacentral:lncRNA from 1 species
UGGCUUGGUGGAGCUGAAGAGGGCACUCACAUCUCUAUGCCCAACCCUGCCAGCAGGGUGGAAAUUCAGGCAGGCUGUGGGAGGGUGGGGUUGUCCUCCUGGGGCUCUGCCCAGCUCUCCCAUCUAGCUUCCCGUACACCCACUGCAGGGGCCACAGGCACCCAAGGAGGCCUGGAAGAUGGACUGGCCCUCCCUGUCUGCUACACCCACAGGGGGCACGCUAGAAACGCAGAAGGGGACGCAGCAGCCACAUUCCAGUCCACAAAGACGCCGCGCAGGCCCGUCCAUCUGCCCCGUGAAUGCCAACCAGGCAGAGACACACAUACAGCUGAGGCUGGGCCGGAUCCCAGAGCAAACCCUUGGGUGCCUCUGGAGGGAGCCCGCCAAGAGGGAUGGCUCAUAAACACUGGGGAAGGAACAGAAGGGGAGGGAGCAAAGGAACUCGGCCGCUCACCUCCGACCCAACCACUUCCCGAGAAGCCAUCUCUGUGGUCAUGGUGGUCCCAGGCCUGGCUCUCCCUGCGCCCACCCCCACCACCCAGUCACUCCACCCAGUCACCCCACCCAGCUGUGACCUGCCACUUCCCUCCAUCUCACAUGCUUUCCCCUCACCUCCCUCAGGAAGCCUCCCCAGCCUCUGGCCUCCAGUCCCAACAAGCCAUGCUCCUUCCAGAGGGAACCUCUGCCAGGGGAGCCUCCACUUUCUUGCUCCUGCCUCCCUACCUGGCACCCAGGCCGGCCCUGGUACCCUGGUACUGAAUAAAGGCACACGUCUAAAUGAUGUCGGGGGGAAUCUGCCCAGUGUUGGCACUGGAGCGAACACGACCCACUGCCAGCAUGGCCCACGAGCCACACCCCCCCAAGCCAGCACCUCCUCCCCAGAGGAAGCACGGGGCUCGACGGGGCACGCCCCUGAAUGGGAGGUCACACAUGGUGCAUACAAUGGAAUAGGAUUAAUCCGUGAAAAGGAAGAAAUUCUGACACAUGCUCCGGCGUGGAGGAACCUUGAGGACGACGCUGAGUGAAAGAAGCCAGACACGAAAGGACAGAUACGGCAAGACUCGACUUAUGUGAGGUCCCUAGAGGAGUCGGAUUCAUAGAGACUGAAAGGAUGGCGGGCACCAGGGGCGGUGGAGAGGGGAAAUGGGGAGUUACUGUUUAAUGGGGACAGAGUUUCAGUUUUACAAGAUGAAAAGGGUCCUGGAGCUGGAUGGGGGUGACGGCCGCACAACAGCAUGAAUGGACUGAACGCCACUGAAAACUGAACUCUUGAAAAUGGUUAAACUGGCAAAUUUUGUUAUGCAUAUUUUGCCACAAAAAGCAAACAACUCUUCUCCCCAAAAAUAUCUGGGGUGUACUUACACUAAAUAUGUAGGGCAUAUUUACUCUCAACAUUUAUUUCCUUAUUUGAAAUGAAAGUAUUUGGGACACACUGCACUACAAAAUGAUUCAGGGUCUACCUGAAAUUCCCAUGUACCUCGUGUCCUGUCUUUGCAUCCGCUAAGUCCGGCGGCCCUUUGCAGCGUGGGGGUGGGGGGGG